UGGGGGUUUUUGCACAAUGGCCGAAAGCCUGAUGCAGCGACGCCGCGUGGGGGAUGAAGGCCUUCGGGUUGUAAACUUUUUUUGCUCUGAACAAGGCAUGCUAAUGGGUGUGUUGAGUGUAGGGGUUGAUUAGCGCCGGCUAACUACGUGCCAGCAGCCGCGGUAAUACGUAGGGCGCGAGCGUUGUCCGGAAUUAUUAGGCGUAAAGGGGUUGUAGGUGGCUGGUUGCGUCUGUCGUGAAAGCUAAUGGCUUAACUGUGGGUUUGCGGUGGGUGCGGGCUGGCUUGUGUGCAGUAGGAGAGGCUGGAAUUCCUGGUGUAGCGGUGGAAUGCGCAGAUGUCAGGAGGAAUACCGGUUGCGGAGGCGGGUCUCUGGGCUGUUACUGACACUGAGGAGCGGAAACAUGGGGGGCGAAGAGG
rnacentral:rRNA from 1 species